GGGGUCCCAGUUCCGAACCC
rnacentral:snRNA from 1 species